rnacentral:rRNA from 1 species
GAUGAACGCUGGCGGCGUGCUUAACACAUGCAAGUCGAACGGAAAGGCCGAAGCUUGCUUCGGUACUCGAGUGGCGAACGGGUGAGUAACACGUGGGUGAUCUGCCCUGUACUUCGGGAUAAGCUUGGGAAACUGGGUCUAAUACCGGAUAUGACGAUCUCUUGGAUGGGGUUGUGGAAAGCUUUUGCGGUAUGGGAUGAGCUCGCGGCCUAUCAGCUUGUUGGUGGGGUAAUGGCCUACCAAGGCGUCGACGGGUAGCCGGCCUGAGAGGGUGUACGGCCACAUUGGGACUGAGAUACGGCCCAGACUCCUACGGGAGGCAGCAGUGGGGAAUAUUGCACAAUGGGCGCAAGCCUGAUGCAGCGACGCCGCGUGGGGGAUGACGGCCUUCGGGUUGUAAACUCCUUUCGCAAUCGACGAAGCCUUUGGGUGACGGUAGGUUGAGAAGAAGCACCGGCUAACUACGUG